rnacentral:rRNA from 1 species
GACGAACGUUAGCGGCGCGCCUAACACAUGCAAGUCGCACGAGAAAGGGGGCAACCCCCGGUACAGUGGCGCACGGGUGAGUAACACGUGGGUGAUCUGCCCAGAAGAAGGGGAUAACCUCUCGAAAGGGGGGCUAAUACCGCAUAGGACCACCGGGGCUUUGGCUCUGUGGUGAAAGGGGGCCUCUGUUUACAAGCUCCUGCUUCUGGAUGAGCCCGCGUCCCAUCAGCUAGUUGGUAGGGUAAUGGCCUACCAAGGCUACGACGGGUAGCUGGUCUAAGAGGAUGGCCAGCCACACUGGAACUGAGACACGGGCCAGACUCCUACAGGAGGCAGCAGUGGGGAAUCUUGCGCAAUGGGCGAAACCCUGACGCAGCAACGCCGCGUGGGUGAAGAAGGCUUUCGGGUUGUAAAGCCCUGUCAGGUGGGAAGAACCUUCUGCAGGUGAAUAGUCUGCGGAACUGACGGUACCACCAAAGGAAGCACCGGCUAACUUCGUGCCAGCCGCCGCAGUAAGAC